UUUUACCUUAAAACUCUGGUUGGGGCGACCUCUAUCUCACCCAGUGAGAGCGUUCGCCCCACGUAGGCUGAGUCCUGCAGCGGCCCGGGUUCGUAUCCGACCUGAGGCCCUUUGCUGCAUGUCAUCCCCCAUCUCUAUCCCCCUUUCCUGUCUAUCCAC